rnacentral:rRNA from 1 species
AGAGUUUGAUCCUGGCUCAGGAUGAACGCUAGCGGCAGGCUUAACACAUGCAAGUCGAGGGGCAGCGCGGGGUAGCAAUACUCUGGCGGCGACCGGCGGAAGGGUGCGUAACGCGUGAGCAACUUGCCCGUCACUGGGGGAUAGGCACUGGAAACGGUGUGUAAUACUCCAUAACAUAUGGAUUCACAUGGAUUUAUAUUGAAAGAUUCGUUGGUGACGGAUGGGCUCGCGUAACAUUAGCUAGUCGGCGGGGUAACGGCCCACCGAGGCUACGAUGUUUAGGGGUUCUGAGAGGAAGGUCCCCCACACUGGAACUGAGACACGGUCCAGACUCCUACGGGAGGCAGCAGUGAGGAAUAUUGGUCAAUGGGCGGAAGCCUGAACCAGCCAUGCCGCGUGCAGGAAUAAGGCCCUAUGGGUCGUAAACUGCUUUUCCUUGAGGGCAAUAAGGGUCACGAGUGGCCCGAUGAGAGUAUCAGGGGAAUAAGCAUCGGCUAACUCCGUGCCAGCAGCCGCGGUAAUACGGAGGAUGCGAGCGUUAUCCGGAUUUAUUGGGUUUAAAGGGUGCGUAGGCGGAUUAUUAAGUCAGUGGUGAAAUACCCGUGCUCAACAUGGGCCGUGCCAUUGAUACUGGUAGUCUAGAGUUCCGUUGCCGUGGGAGGAAUGAGUAGUGUAGCGGUGAAAUGCAUAGAUAUUACUCAGAACACCGAUUGUGAAGACAUCUCACGAAGCGGCGACUGACGCUGAGGCACGAAAGCGUGGGGAUCGAACAGGAUUAGAUACCCUGGUAGUCCACGCAGUAAACGAUGAUGACUAACCGUUGGAAAGUAAUUUUCAGUGGCCAAGUGAAAGCGAUAAGUCAUCCACCUGGGGAGUACGACCGCAAGGUUGAAACUCAAAGGAAUUGACGGGGGCCCGCACAAGCAGUGGAGUAUGUGGAUUAAUUCGAAGCAACGCGAAGAACCUUACCGGGUCUUGACAUCGAGUGAAAGCUGUAGAGAUACAGCCCUCCCUUCGGGGACACGAAGACAGGUGGUGCAUGGUUGUCGUCAGCUCGUGUCGUGAGAUGUUGGGUUAAGUCCCGCAACGAGCGCAACCCUUAUGAUUAGUUGCUACGCAAAGAGCACUCUAAUCAGACUGCCGUUGACAAAACGGAGGAAGGUGGGGAUGACGUCAAAUCAUCAUGCCCUUUAUGACCCGGGCCUCACACGUACUACAAUGGCGUUCAACAAAGAGAAGCAAGGCAGUGAUGCGGAGCAAAUCUCUAAAAAACGUCUCAGUUCAGAUUGCAGGCUGCAACUCGCCUGCAUGAAGUCGGAAUUGCUAGUAAUCGCAGAUCAGCAUGCUGCGGUGAAUACGUUCCCGGGCCUUGUACACACCGCCCGUCAAACCAUGAGAGUUGGUAACACCCGAAGCCGAUAGUCUAACCGCAAGGAGGACGUCGUCGAAGGUGGGGUCGAUGAUUGGGGUUAAGUCGUAACAAGGUAACC